GACGAACGCUGGCGGCGUGCUUAACACAUGCAAGUCGAACGGUAAGGCCCUUCGGGGUACACGAGUGGCGAACGGGUGAGUAACACGUGGGUGAUCUGCCCUGCACUUCGGGAUAAGCCUGGGAAACUGGGUCUAAUACCGGAUAGGACAUCUGCCUGCAUGGGUGGUGGUGGAAAGCUUUUGCGGUGUGGAUGGGCCCGCGGCCUAUCAGCUUGUUGGUGGGGUGAUGGCCUACCAAGGCGACGACGGGUAGCCGGCCUGAGAGGGUGACCGGCCACACUGGGACUGAGAUACGGCCCAGACUCCUACGGGAGGCAGCAGUGGGGAAUAUUGCACAGUGGGCGCAAGCCUGAUGCAGCGACGCCGCGUGAGGGAUGACGGCCUUCGGGUUGUAAACCUCUUUCAGCACCGACGAAGCGCAAGUGACGGUAGGUGCAGAAGAAGGACCGGCCAACUACGUGCCAGCAGCCGCGGUAA
rnacentral:rRNA from 1 species